rnacentral:rRNA from 1 species
GAUGAACGCUGGCGGCGUGCCUAAUACAUGCAAGUCGAGCGAACGGACGAGAAGCUUGCUUUUCUGAUGUUAGCGGCGGACGGGUGAGUAACACGUGGAUAACCUACCUAUAAGACUGGGAUAACUUCGGGAAACCGGAGCUAAUACCGGAUAAUAUUUUGAACCGCAUGGUUCACAAGUGAAAGACGGUCUUGCUGUCACUUAUAGAUGGAUCCGCGCUGCAUUAGCUAGUUGGUAAGGUAACGGCUUACCAAGGCAACGAUGCAUAGCCGACCUGAGAGGGUGAUCGAGCACACGGGAACUGAGGCACGGUCCAGACUCCUACGGGGGGCAGCGGUAGGGAAUCUUACGCGAGGGGCGAAAGCCUGACGGAGCAACACCGCGGGAGUGAUGAAGGUCUUCGGAUCGUAAAACUCUGUUAGUAGGGAAGAACAUAUGUGUAAGUAACUGUGCACAUCUUGACGGUACCUAAUCAGAAAGCCACGGCUAACUACGUG